GAUGAACGCUGGCGGCGUGCCUAAUACAUGCAAGUCGAGCGAACAGACGAGAGUGCUUGCACUCUCUGACGUUAGCGGCGGACGGGUGAGUAACACGUGGGUAACCUACCUAUAAGACUGGGAUAACUUCGGGAAACCGGAGCUAAUACCGGAUAAUAUUUAGCUUCGCAUGGAGCAAUAGUGAAAGACGGUUCUGCUGUCACUUAUAGAUGGACCCGCGGUGUAUUAGCUAGUUGGUGAGGUAACGGCUCACCAAGGCAACGAUACAUAGCCGACCUGAGAGGGUGAUCGGCCACACUGGGACUGAGACACGGCCCAGACUCCUACGGGAGGCAGCAGUAGGGAAUCUUCCGCAAUGGACGAAAGUCUGACGGAGCAAUGCCGCGUGAGUGAAGAAGGUUUUCGGAUCGUAAAACUCUGUUGUAAGGGAAGAACAAGUACGUUAGUAACUGAACGUACCUUGACGGUACCUUACCAGAAAGCCACGGCUAACUACGUG
rnacentral:rRNA from 1 species